rnacentral:rRNA from 1 species
GACGAACGCUGGCGGCGUGCUUAACACAUGCAAGUCGAACGGGAGUAUUGAAGAAGCUUGCUUUAGAGAUACUUUAGUGGCGGACGGGUGAGUAACGCGUGAGGAGCUGUCCUAUGCAGGGGGACAACAGCUGGAAACGGCUGCUAAUACCCCAUAAGCCGAGAGGUAAAAGGAUCAAUCCGGCAGAGGAGGUACUCGCGUCCUAUCAGCUAGUAGGUGAGGUAACGGCUCACCUAGGCGAAGACGGGUAGCCGGCCUGAGAGGGCGAACGGCCACACUGGGACUGAGAUACGGCCCAGACUCCUACGGGAGGCAGCAGCUAAGAAUAUUCCGCAAUGGACGAAAGUCUGACGGAGCGACGCCGCGUGGAUGAAGAAGGCCGAAAGGUUGUAAAGUUCUUUUGCUAGGGGAGAAUAAGUGAGGGAGGGAAUGCCCUCAUGAUGACAAGGACUAGCGAAUAAGCCCCGGCCAACUACGUGCCAGCAGCCGCGGUAAUCUCGU